UGUAAGGGUGAGCUGGCUGUGGCGUCUGUCACCCCAUUGGUCUCCAGGGUUGAUUUGGCUGAUCUGGCUGGCUAGGUGGGGGUCCCCUUCCUCCCUCGGCGCACGCUGUGCCUCUCUCCUGAAGCUGAGCGCUGGGUGGAAGAGGACGAGCACCCCCGUAGAGGAGGACCGUUCCUUGGCAAGGGUAUAAGAGCGGCUACACUUCCCUGCUAGAACCUCCAAACAAGCAAACAAACAAGAGCAGCUUUUAUAAAAUGGAAGAGGUUUGAACGAACCGAUACAAGCUGGGUU
rnacentral:snRNA from 1 species